UACGUAGGGGGCAAGCGUUGUCCGGAAUUAUUGGGCGUAAAGAGCUCGUAGGCGGUUUGUCGCGUCGAAUGUGAAAUCCCGGGGCUCAACCCCGGGUCUGCAUUCGAUACGGGCAGACUAGAGUUCGGUAGGGGAGUCUGGAAUUCCUGGUGUAGCGGUGAAAUGCGCAGAUAUCAGGAGGAACACCGGUGGCGAAGGCGGGACUCUGGGCCGAUACUGACGCUGAGGAGCGAAAGCGUGGGGAGCAAACAGG
rnacentral:rRNA from 1 species